rnacentral:rRNA from 1 species
AGAGUUUGAUCAUGGCUCAGAUUGAACGCUGGCGGCAGGCCUAACACAUGCAAGUCGAGCGGAUGAAGGGAGCUUGCUCCUGGAUUCAGCGGCGGACGGGUGAGUAAUGCCUAGGAAUCUGCCUGGUAGUGGGGGAUAACGUCCGGAAACGGGCGCUAAUACCGCAUACGUCCUGAGGGAGAAAGUGGGGGAUCUUCGGACCUCACGCUAUCGGAUGAGCCUAGGUCGGAUUAGCUAGUUGGUGGGGUAAAGGCCUACCAAGGCGACGAUCCGUAACUGGUCUGAGAGGAUGAUCAGUCACACUGGAACUGAGACACGGUCCAGACUCCUACGGGAGGCAGCAGUGGGGAAUAUUGGACAAUGGGCGAAAGCCUGAUCCAGCCAUGCCGCGUGUGUGAAGAAGGUCUUCGGAUUGUAAAGCUCUUUAAGUUGGGAGGAAGGGCAGUAAGUUAAUACCUUGCUGUUUUGACGUUACCAACAGAAUAAGCACCGGCUAACUUCGUGCCAGCAGCCGCGGUAAUACGAAGGGUGCAAGCGUUAAUCGGAAUUACUGGGCGUAAAGCGCGCGUAGGUGGUUCAGCAAGUUGGAUGUGAAAUCCCCGGGCUCAACCUGGGAACUGCAUCCAAAACUACUGAGCUAGAGUACGGUAGAGGGUGGUGGAAUUUCCUGUGUAGCGGUGAAAUGCGUAGAUAUAGGAAGGAACACCAGUGGCGAAGGCGACCACCUGGACUGAUACUGACACUGAGGUGCGAAAGCGUGGGGAGCAAACAGGAUUAGAUACCCUGGUAGUCCACGCCGUAAACGAUGUCGACUAGCCGUUGGGAUCCUUGAGAUCUUAGUGGCGCAGCUAACGCGAUAAGUCGACCGCCUGGGGAGUACGGCCGCAAGGUUAAAACUCAAAUGAAUUGACGGGGGCCCGCACAAGCGGUGGAGCAUGUGGUUUAAUUCGAAGCAACGCGAAGAACCCUACCUGGCCUUGACAUGCUGAGAACUUUCCAGAGAUGGAUUGGUGCCUUCGGGAACUCAGACACAGGUGCUGCAUGGCUGUCGUCAGCUCGCGUCGUGAGAUGUUGGGUUAAGUCCCGUAACGAGCGCAACCCUUGUCCUUAGUUACCAGCACCUCGGGUGGGCACUCUAAGGAGACUGCCGGUGACAAACCGGAGGAAGGUGGGGAUGACGUCAAGUCAUCAUGGCCCCUUACGGCCAGGGCUACACACGUGCUACAAUGGUCGGUACAAAGGGUUGCCAAGCCGCGAGGUGGAGCUAAUCCCAUAAAACCGAUCGUAGUCCGGAUCGCAGUCUGCAACUCGACUGCGUGAAGUCGGAAUCGCUAGUAAUCGUGAAUCAGAAUGUCACGGUGAAUACGUUCCCGGGCCUUGUACACACCGCCCGUCACACCAUGGGAGUGGGUUGCUCCAGAAGUAGCUAGUCUAACCGCAAGGGGGACGGUUACCACGGAGUGAUUCAUGACUGGGGUGAAGUCGUAACAAGGUA